rnacentral:rRNA from 1 species
UCUUGGCCAGCCUUCUGAAAGGAAGAUUAAUCCAGGAUGGGAUCAUGAGUUCACAUGUCCGCAUGAUUAAAGGUAUUUUCCGGUAGACGAUGGGGAUGCGUUCCAUUAGAUAGUAGGCGGGGUAACGGCCCACCUAGUCAACGAUGGAUAGGGGUUCUGAGAGGAAGGUCCCCCACAUUGGAACUGAGACACGGUCCAAACUCCUACGGGAGGCAGCAGUGAGGAAUAUUGGUCAAUGGGCGAUGGCCUGAACCAGCCAAGUAGCGUGAAGGAUGACUGCCCUAUGGGUUGUAAACUUCUUUUAUAAAGGAAUAAAGUCGGGUAUGCAUACCCGUUUGCAUGUACUUUAUGAAUAAGGAUCGGCUAACUCCGUGCCAGCAGCCGCGGUAAUACGGAGGAUCCGAGCGUUAUCCGGAUUUAUUGGGUUUAAAGGGAGCGUAGAUGGAUGUUUAAGUCAGUUGUGAAAGUUUGCGGCUCAACCGUAAAAUUGCAGUUGAUACUGGAUGUCUUGAGUGCAGUUGAGGCAGGCGGAAUUCGUGGUGUAGCGGUGAAAUGCUUAGAUAU